GGCAAGAUGGCCGAGUGGUUAAGGCGGUGAGUGUUCCCUGUGUCCUGUUUCUCUCUCAGCAUCUCAGCUAAUGAUCAACCUAGUUACGUUUAGGCCGUAAUGGGAAACCGCGUGGGUUCGAAUCCCACUCUUGUCA